AGAGCGAACGCUGGCGGCAGGCUUAACACAUGCAAGUCGAGCGCCCCGCAAGGGGAGCGGCAGACGGGAGAGUAACACGUGGGAACGUACCCUUCAGUUCGGAACAACCCAGGGAAACUUGGGCUAAUACCGAAUACGUCCGUAAGGAGAAAGAUUUAUCGCUGAAGGAUCGGCCCGCGUCUGAUUAGCUAGUUGGUGGGGUAACGGCCCACCAAGGCUACGAUCAGUAGCUGGUCUGAGAGGAUGAUCAGCCUCACUGGGACUGAGACACGGCCCAGACUCCUACGGGAGGCAGCAGUGGGGAAUAUUGGACAAUGGGCGCAAGCCUGAUCCAGCCAUGCCGCGUGGGUGAUGAAGGCCCUAGGGUUGUAAAGCCCUUUCGGCGGGGAAGAUAAUGACGGUACCCGCAGAAGAAGCCCGGCUAACUUCGUGCCAGCAGCCGC
rnacentral:rRNA from 1 species